rnacentral:rRNA from 1 species
UACCUCAGUAACGGCGAGUGAAGCGGUAACAGCUCAAAUUUGAAAUCUGGCUCUUUCAGGGUCCGAGUUGUAAUUUGUAGAAGAUGCUUCGGGUGUGGCCCCGGUCUAAGUUCCUUGGAACAGGACGUCAUAGAGGGUGAGAAUCCCGUAUGUGACUGGGUGCCUUCGCUCAUGUGAAGCUCUUUCGACGAGUCGAGUUGUUUGGGAAUGCAGCUCAAAAUGGGUGGUAAAUUUCAUCUAAAGCUAAAUAUUGGCCAGAGACCGAUAGCGCACAAGUAGAGUGAUCGAAAGAUGAAAAGCACUUUGGAAAGAGAGUUAAACAGUACGUGAAAUUGUUGAAAGGGAAGCGCUUGCAACCAGACUUGCACGUAGUUAAUCAUCCGGGGCUCGCCCCGGUGCACUUGAUUGCGUUCAGGCCAGCAUCGGUUUCGGUGGUGGGAUAAAGGCCUUGGGAAUGUAGCUUCUUUCGGGGAGUGUUAUAGCCCUCGGUGCAAUGCCGCCUACCGGGACCGAGGACCGCGCUUCGGCUAGGAUGCUGGCGUAAUGGUUGUAAGCGACCCGUCUUGAAACACGGACCAAGGAGUCUAACAUCUAUGCGAGUGUUUGGGUGUCAAACCCAUACGCGUAAUGAAAGUGAACGGAGGUGAGAACCCUUAAGGGUGCAUCAUCGACCGAUCCUGAUGUCUUCGGAUGGAUUUGAGUAAGAGCAUAGCUGUUGGGACCCGAAAGAUGGU